GUGUGUAUAUAUAUAUAUAUAUUGAAUGUACCAGUUCUCAUCCAAUCACUGAAAUUAAGCAACAUUGAGCCUAGUUAAGUACUUAGAUGGGUGAUUGCUUGGGACACCUAUAUGCUACAAGCA
rnacentral:rRNA from 1 species